GGAUAAUCCCAGGUGACUGGGGAAAGAGCGGAUCAGGCUGGUUGGCACGCUCCCUCAGAACUUCGUGGCGCAAGCCAGGAAGGCAAGAGGCAGAAUUCACCAGCUCCUCUGGCGGCGUUCGCGCGCUGUCAGAAACGCGAAGUAGGAGUUGGGCAGCGAGGCACGAUGAGAAACCGUGCCGAGUUGAGUCAAGUAGUCCGGGCUGGUUUCGAGCCCGAACGAAUCGCAGUUACCCAGAGGGUAANNGGUUGCUACUGUGAGCCAGCACGGAGCGGACAACUCUGGCGGCCCCGACCCACGGGGUCAGCCCAAAGAAAGACGCCGAAAGGCGGAACAAAGGGAGUGUCCGAGCCGGGAAGACCACUGGACUAGGCAAGCCCAGUGAAAACUUUCAAAACGCCGGCGAUGCUAAAAACGGCACCGCUGGCUUGUGAGCGAAAAGCAACCUGAGAGGUAAGAGGUCAGACCCGUGGCACGGGGCCAACGCGCCGCCAAAAGCGGUGGCCGACCCCGCGCAAACUGGUGAAGACGCGAAGCAAAGAUUACAAACGUGUCUUAACCUGGUCCGCAAGCCGGUGGCGCAACCAUCAGCCGAAACGGGCUAAGAGGCCUCACUCAAAAUCGGGUGUCCGUAAGGCGCCCGACGGCCCUGCUACGAGGCCGAAGACUCCGCUUGCCGUGGAGAAUAGCGUCGGGAAGCCGGCAGCCAACCAAGGCGCCUAAUGUCGGCGAUGGGAAAGAGAGCGUGGCGAACUCC
rnacentral:ncRNA from 1 species